rnacentral:rRNA from 1 species
CUACGGGGGGCUGCAGUGGGGAAUAUUGCACAAUGGGGGAAACCCUGAUGCAGCAACGCCGCGUGAGUGAUGACGGUCUUCGGAUUGUAAAGCUCUGUCUUCAGGGACGAUAAUGACGGUACCUGAGGAGGAAGCCACGGCUAACUACGUGCCAGCAGCCGCGGUAAUACGUAGGUGGCAAGCGUUGUCCGGAUUUACUGGGCGUAAAGGGAGCGUAGGCGGAUUUUUAAGUGGGAUGUGAAAUACCCGGGCUCAACCUGGGUGCUGCAUUCCAAACUGGAAGUCUAGAGUACAGGAGGGGAAAGUGGAAUUCCUAGUGUAGCGGUGAAAUGCGUAGAGAUUAGGAAGAACACCGGUGGCGAAGGCGACUUUCUGGACUGUAACUGACGCUGAGGCGCGAAGGCGUGGGGAGCAAACAGGAUUGAUACCCGAGUAGUC